UACGGGGGGGGCAAGCGUUGUUCGGAAUUACUGGGCGUAAAGGGCGCGUAGGCGGCCUGUUAAGUCGGACGUGAAAUCCCUCGGCUCAACCGGGGAACUGCGUCCGAUACUGGCGAGGCUUGAAUCCGGGAGAGGGAUGUGGAAUUCCAGGUGUAGCGGUGAAAUACGUAGAUAUCUGGAGGAACACCAGUGGCGAAGGCGGCAUCCUGGACCGGCAUUGACGCUGAGGCGCGAAAGCUAGGGUAGCAAGCGGG
rnacentral:rRNA from 1 species